rnacentral:misc_RNA from 1 species
UUUCUUUUCUUGUUCUUGUUAGUAACUUGUUUUAAGAACUUCAUUAAAGAAAAUCAUAAGAAGAUUAUAAAAAUAAUAUAGAUUGAGAAUAACGUGGACAAAAUGGAAAGUAAAACAAAAGCAAAAAUAAAUUCAUGUAAAUAACAUAAAUUAGUAAAUGUAAAGCAAAGAAAGAAUGGACGAAAAUAAAAUAUAAAAUAAAAAUGGACACCAACCAUACUCACCGGCGGUAUUGCUCAAGGACGCGAGCGUCGCCAGGCCUUGGAGGUUCGCAGGGUUAAUUUCUGGCGGGCUUGGUACGGCGGGGGCAGCCGCAUGCGCAGGAGUCGCCGCGCCGAGGCCAAGGUGUUGUUGCAGUAACAAUUGAUGCUGUACGCUCGACAACGCGCUUGCACCAGCACCUGCCGCGACCGGAGUCGCCGCGCUCGUUGUCGCCUGAAGUUGUUGCAACAGUUGCAAUGAGGCUGGCGCCAAAGCAGGCGUGUCGUUCUGCAAACAAACGAGAAACCGACUUUGGAAGAAGGAUGAGCGAUGCGUGAUGCAACGAGAGGAGAACCGGUUGGACACGUGGUUUUCUCGUGCCUCUCAAUUUGUCUGCUUGAGGAACGAAGAGGCGCGAGGCAAACACACUUGACGUGACUUCACGAGAAACGAACCGUUUUACGAUUGAAUAUAAUAUCGCGAAGCUCGCGCCAUAUAUAGUUAGAGAUUGACGGAAAUAGAAAGAAUAAAUUGUUUUCCAACGAAGGUAUUGUUGUAUACGGACAAGAGUCGAGUUUCAGCCUGAAAUAAAAAGAGGGUCGAUUGUGUCUGCCUGUUCGAUCUUGAGACGUAUCUUUCAACGUAAUAAUACAGAUCUACGAGAAGAACAGAGAAGGAAGGACUCAAUAC